CCCUUAGAUGUUCUGGGCCGCACGCGUGCUACACUGAGUGGAUCAGCGGGUCAGGUUGCGCGAAAGCGUUUCCUAAUCUUUAAAUCCGUUCGUGAUGGGGAUUGACGGUUGCAAUUUUCUGUCAUGAACGAGGAAUACCUUGUAAGCGCGGGUCAUCAUCCCGCGCUGAAUACGUCCCUGCCCUUUGUACACACCGCCCGUCGCUCCUACCGAUUGAGUGGUCCGGUGAGGCUUUGGGAUCUGAGCGGAAAGAGCGUUUCGCUGUUUCUGCUCGGAAAACUCAGUCGAACCUUAUCAUUUAGAGGAAGGAGAAGUCGUAACA
rnacentral:rRNA from 1 species